CCUACGGGCGGCAGCAGUGAGGAAUAUUGGUCAAUGGGCGCGAGCCUGAACCAGCCAAGUAGCGUGAAGGACGACUGCCCUACGGGUUGUAAACCUCUUUUAUAAAGGAAUAAAGUGAGGCACGUGUGCCAUUAUGUAUGUACCUUAUGAAUAAGGAUCGGCUAACUCCGUGCCAGCAGCCGCGGUAAUACGGAGGAUCCGAGCGUUAUCCGGAUUUAUUGGGUUUAAAGGGUGCGUAGAUGGGUUGUUAAGUUUGUUGUUAAAGUUUGCGGCUGUACCGUAAAUUUGCAAUUGAUACUGGAAGACUUGAGUACAGAUGAGGUAGGCGGAAUAAGUGAAGUAGCGGUGAAAUGCUUAGAUAUAACGAAGAACUCCGAUAGCGAAGGCAGCUUACCAGACUGCGACUGACGUUGAAGCACGAGAGUGUGGGUAGCGAACAGGAUUAGAUACCCGAGUAGUC
rnacentral:rRNA from 1 species